rnacentral:tRNA from 1 species
GGUCCCAUCGUCUAGAGGCCUAGGACACCGCCCUUUCACGGCGGUGACACGAGUUCGAAUCUCGUUGGGACUACCA